rnacentral:misc_RNA from 1 species
UUAAGUUCAGCGGGUAUCCCUACCUGAUCCGAGGUCAACCAUAGAAAAUUGGGUGUUUAAUGGCGAAGGCACGCGGGGAACCUGUAGCGAGAAAAAUUACUACGCUCAGGACCCAACGGCACCGCACACUGAUUUUAAGGCUCGCCAUUUGACUGGCGAAAGCCCAAUACCAAGCAGAGCUUGAGGGUUGAAAUGACGCU